ACGCCAUUUCGUUUCACAAAACAUCGACGCACUUCUUGAUCUCACGUAGGAAGGCAGGCGAGCGGUACAGGUUGACGCGUUUUUCUUUUUUGAUCAAAAGAUAAUCUUAGAAAGAAGAUUUAUUUUUUUUAUUCAAUUGCGUAGCACAAUAUAUUUACUGUUAGUCGUUCUUCUUUUUUUUUUUACCGUUCAUUUGUUUUCACAUUUGGCUCCAGUCUCAAUAGACGUUAUUUUUGUAAUGCUUUUUUAUUUAUCAUUAUCUACCUAGUAAUGACCCUAUUAUUAAGCUAAAAGCGAUUACUGUUGUUUUUUUUUUUAACUUGAUUGCUAAGCUAACGCCUAGCUUGGUGUGAAAAACGUAGUUUCAGAACGCUUAAAAUGAACAUUACUUGAUUAUCUUUUGUUUUCUCAGACUAAAUGUUUAUUGUUGAGCUUUCUACAAGAAAUCGGCUUAAGCUGUUGUUUUUCGAGAAAUUGUUUUUUUCAGUUGGGAUUCGUAACUGCUGUAGUCUUAAUAUGGGCGCCGUGACGUAAAAGUUGGCAAAUGGCCGUUGGUUGACUUAUAAUAACGCCGUGACGUAAUGGGCUUGCGGGGAGUGGUCGGGAUGCUUCGAGACGCAUGCCCAACUAUGGCUUUGAGCUGCCGAUUGUUAACGGAAAAUAACUCCCCGUUUUUUACGGUAGCAUAAUCUAAGAAAACGAACUUGCUUUUCUGUGGUGAGCCUUUGAGUUUAACUAUUUUGUCCGACUUAAAUGGCUUAACAUGUCUGUUAAUGUUUCGAAUGCAAUUUUGAACUGCCGGUGAAGUUAAUGAAAAAACAAUUACGGUAGCAUAACUUAAAAAAAAACAAAUAGUCGUGUUUAUGUGAUGAGGUUUUGAGAUUUUUUAUCAGAGUUAAACGGGUUAAAAUCUUAACAUCGGUUAAUUUUUUCGAGCUGCGAUACAAUUAACGAAUAAUAACCCCCAUUGUUUACGCUGCAUAACCUAAAAAAAAAAAAAGUAGUUGUGUUUGUGUGGUGAACCUUUUGAUAUUUUUUAUUCGACUUAAACGGCUUAAAAUCCUGACAUAUCAGUUAAUUUUUGCCUGUGGCUAUUUCGAGCUACCGAUACAAUUAACGAAUAAUAACCCUCCAUUGUUUGCGAUAGUAUAACCUAAGAAAACAAGUAGUUGUGUUUCUGUGGUUAGCCUUUGAGAUUUUUCUGUUUUGCCCAACUUAAAUGGCUUAGUCUUAACAUAUCCGUUAAUUUUUCUAAUGCCUAUGGCAGUGCUGAGCUACCAAUGCAGUUAACAAAUAAUAACCCGCAUUUUUAUGGCAGCAUAACCUAAGAAAAUAAGUAGUUGUGUUUCUGUGGCGAGCCUUUGAGAUUUUUUGUUUUUGUCUAGGCUUAAACGGCUUAAACUUAACGUUAUAUCAGUUACUUAUCCAAAUGCCUAUGGCAAUAUAGAUUUGUCUAUAUACAUUGACAUGCAGUUUGGAGAAGACUUAAAGACUUAGAAUUUAUUUUUACCUAUGGAUUGCUACAUUCCUAUUAUAACGCCAUAAAAAAACAGAAUUGUCUUUAAAAAAAAAAGGAAUGCUAACAAGGGCAAACAGAACUAUUUUUUUAUACCGUUACACUAUAAUCAAGCUGUAUUAUAGUUCGGUGUAUUUUCUUCAAAGAAAACUUUUUUUUCUUUUUCUUUUUUUUUAAAAAUGCAGUCAAAUUUGACUCAGAUUUUUUUAUUUUAUUUUUCUCUACUCAAAAAGAAAAAAAAAAAAAACCAAAUGCCUUGUACAGAAUAAUGGCUAAGUUGUAUUCAUCUUGAGUGGAUGACAAGUUUAGUUCUCAAUAUAAAAAAAAAAGUUUUUUUAGUCAAUCGAAGAAAAAAAAAAAAACAUCUUUUUUUUGACUUACAGAAGACAGAAGAUUUUUUUUUUUUUUUUUUUUCCGGGGAAAAUGGACUGAGUUAUUGGGGAGGAAUGGACUUAGUUAAUGUGGGGAAGAAUGGACUUUGUUAAUCUGAAGAUUCAGGACCAGCGUGGCUGCAGAAUCGUAGGAGACGGGGAGAGGACCAGAGUGGGACCAGGCAGGACAGGACCAGAGACGAGCCAGGCAGGACAAGGCCAGAGGGUGUGAGAGGACCAGAGACGAGCCAGGCAGGACAAGGCCAGAGGGCGUGAGAGGACCAGAGACGAGCCAGGCAGGACAAGGCCAGAGGGCGUGGAGGCAGGAGCAGAGGGAGGCGAUGCGAUCAGGAGGUCUACAGAGGGCACCAGAAGCACAGGGCAGAGUAGAUGAGAGGCCAGCGCUGCAGCAGCUCCAGAGUGGGAUGGGCACGCAGUCUCUAGCUACAGGAGUGUAAAGCGGGUCAUUGGUUUGUAUUUUGGGCUGAGGUAUCUCUGUAACACUCAGAAGCUUGGUUUCAUUACCACUUUUUAUAAAACUAUUGUAGAACACAAUUUCUCGCACAGCUCUCUCUUCCUCUUUUCAGGCAAGCCGUGUAAAGCGUUUUGUACCGUGGUCACAUCUCCUCUUGCGCUGACAUGAUAUUGGUGGUGUCUGCUGUGAUGAAUGCCUUGGUUGUGUGCUGGCGAGAGGAGCUACUUGUUUGGACUUCAACUCCCUGCGAUCAAUAGUUCUCCCCCCCAACUGGAAGGAAAGGCAACCCAAUGUCGUUUAAUAGGUCUUCUGAGAAGUUUACAGCACUGGAUUGUGAGAGUGGAUGGUCAUCUGUUCAGCCAAUGCGGUGUGUUCUGCAAAAUCGUCAUUGUCAUCUCCCUGAUUGGUACAGAUAAGCUACAACUACCUCUUAACCCAAGCAGUGAGUCAAUGCAUGGAAUGUACAUGUGGUGUAACAAUCCUGUACAUAAGUAAUUAUCUUUGUAAUAUUUGCGCUCAAAAUGAAAUGGAAUCGUUGUCCUUCGCUUUUAAAAGGGUUUGAAUGGGUUCAGGGGAGGGAGGUGUGGGGUGUUUAAAAUGUGUCUGGAGUUUUUCUUUUACAGGCAUGCGCCCCUAAAGCAGUUCACCAGUUCAACGAAAGCCCCUGGUGGUAGCCACCCCGUACAAGUUGAGCCCAUCUUGCGUACUAUAGUGCUAAGGAUUGGGAUCAUAUGCAACUACCGUGAUUUAACAAGGUGUAGGAAGGUAUUUUGUAUUUAACAAAAUCAAUUCAGUUUCAUCAUUUUCCUGCUUGGACCAUUAUGUUUGAAAUGGGGGGGUACUUUGUUGGGGAGCUUAAUGUGAGGGGGGGUUGUGGGGCGUUAAUCAGUCUCUUCCUAGACUUCACAGCUCCUCAUUUGCCAAUAUAAGAAAGGCUUGAAUAGGAAUCAUCCAGGUGUACCCAACAAGCUUCAAGUGGACACUUUGCCAUGCGGGAUAGCAACUCCACAAAGCUAGUCUCCUGGAUUUAGAGAAGCAGCUUUUGUCCCAGAGAGUGCGGUAACAAGUCUCCUUACUAGAAGUAAUUUAUUUUUGAUUUGCAGUUGCCUUGUGGGAGGGGGGUUUGUAUCUUUGACUUUUGCAGAUUAAUGUAAAGGCCCAACCGUCACUUAAAUCCACAUUCAAGUCUACAUCUGCUGUUGGAAGGAACUCCCCAGUACGCAGGCCUGUGGUAUUCAAAUACUUUUUGUGGAAAAUGAUCCCAUCCAUCUCUAAAUUGUAUUAAGCCUUUCAGUCGAGGAAGUCCGACAAUUGCUUGGUGUAACAGUAUUUGUCCUGUAGUUUUGUACAUAUUUGUAUUUGGAAGGGUUUGUGGGGAGAAGGCUUUUUUCCUUUGCAUUUUUCAGUGUGCUGUGUCCCGUGUGCUUUCCAAUACCCAAGACCAUCAGGAACUCUCCUAACUCAUUGUUUGUACAAGUUUCCUUGCGCAUCGAGCGUCACGUAAGCUCACUAAAUGUGUUCACAUUUACUUUAACAUUCAUUGUUUGGCUAGAUGCCUCCAUUUGCAAUUCCUUUGCAAUUAGUUGCUGUGCCUUGUAUUGACAAUACGAGUGAACUAUCUGUAAAGGAUUUUAUUUUUGCACAAUAAAUGCAUAGCUUGUUGUGAUUACAGUUUUUGGAAUGCAUUUGUUCUUUUUGGGGGCUUGUGUGGGGGAGCUUUUCUUGUGCUUUUUCAGGUAUGACUAAAGCUUGGUGUAGAGCACGGAUGUGACCUGGGCUCAAAUGAAAGUGGAAAUUGAAGGCAGAUAAGUUGAAUCAUCUAAUGACUUUUGGAAAGAUGAAUAUUCAUCCCAAAGUGGGCAAUCUUAAGUGCACUAUUAGUGCGUUGUUUAUUCUUGCCACGAAAGCAACUUGCUAUACUUGAUUGCAGAAAUAGCACUGUUGUGCUUUCUUGAUAGUCUUGUGAUAAGAGGAAGACACGGAGGCUUCAUUGAUUUGACAUUAUCUGCAGUAAAGCAUUUGGGUAAGGAUAACAACAGUCAGUUCUACGAUACUGUGGGGAGGGAGCAGGGAUGUCUUCUCUCUUUUUGAUCUUACAGAAGUCCAAAGGAAGAAUGCAGUCUACCUUGGACAGCUCAGGAAUUUUCCUGCCCUUUGAACAUGACCUACAUGCAGUUUGCUCAGAAAGGGUCAGGUUGAUCUUUGUAGUUUUAAGAAAGUAAUUAGUCCUCAGCUACCAGCCCUUGUGCAACUGUGCAAGAGGCAGGUUAUUCCCAUUUCACUCCAAUGCGCAACUGUGCAAAUUUAACAAAUUGAAGGUGCUGAGGAGAGCUGUGCAUGGUGCAGCUCAUAUUUGGAGUAAAAUGCAGCGCAAAUGUGUUGCUUUAGUACAUGCACAUGUUUUGGUUGCGCGUGUUCCUACACUUUUCUUCACAGAAAUCCAAAUACAAGACAGAAGCACAAGCGAAGUCCUCUAACCUGGAGCAUGUAGUAAGAAGCUGGCUCAUCUUACCCAAUCUUUUGCAAUGUGUAGUAAACAAAACAUCUUGGAACUGGCUUUAUGUUAACCUCAAAUCAUCAGUAACAAUGCUUUACUAGUACAUACCUCUUUGGCCCUGGGGCCUUAUUGCUUUGCAUCUUAAAACCACAUGAGUAGAACACAAAUCUUUGUAUUGUGUCAAAUGUGUGGUGGGUGUGUUGUGUAGAUCACUUUGUUUCAGAUCAUUCUCGUCUGUCCACUCCGAUCUCACCUGCCUCUGAAUGCAAAGUCAUCUGUGGAAGCUGUCAACAAAUGAGUGUGACCCUCUGAAUGAAGCACCGACCCCUCCCUGUUCGCUUGAGCUUAAAUCUGAACCCUGGCGUCCUUUGCAGAAGCCCUGCUCUUUUUGUGUUUGUGUGCCUUUUCUUUCCCUCUGGUUUCUCAGGUCAAAUUGCCAAAUUUCUAAAUUUCCUCUGGGAUGGCCUAACCUGUGAUGGACACUGAGAAUCCUGUCAUAUUAAGAUCGAGAACUGCAAGCUUGUUUCUAAUACUGCAUCUCUUCAGUCUCGUGGGUGCUAAGUUAAGUAAUUUUGGUUCCCUAGAUUUUUUUUCCCCCCCUCAUUGCUUAAAUGUGUAACUCAACAUGUUGCAUGCAAGUCAGCUCUGCAUAACAUUUAAUUUGCACAACGCAACAUAAUUUUCAUUGAAUCGUUGUCAAACGUUUCAGUAGUUACCGGUAAGGGGUGUUUUGGGGGGGUGCAACGCUAUUCUCUUUUUUUCCCUUCCAGAUUUCUCGUUCAGCUAAACUUGCUACUGAGUCGAGCAGCCUAAGCAUCAGCAGAGUAACAGGAUGACUUGAGUUCAGCCAGCCUCUAGGGAUCAAACUUAAAUAUGUGGAAGAAUUCAACACCAUUACGUACCGAUGUGGUAAACCCUAUUUGGCAUAACCAUAGUCUGGGGUUAAUAUGGGGGGGAGGGAAGGGGGUUCCUUAAACUGUGUUUCUUUUUUAUCCCAUUACAGCUUUAGAAGCAUUCUUUUGGUCAUCAAGUCCUGCCACAUUGCAAAUGGGAAUGGCUUUGAGUAUGAACAGGAAUCCUGGUAUCGUGGCUUUGUUUAUAUGGCUAUAAAUGGAAAUCAUGGAAUAAGUCAAAUACAAUAUUGUGGGAAACUUCUGGGAUCGGGGAAACAUUCUGUCUUCUAGUUUCAGCCUCAUGAUCAAGAGAAAAGUCCGUGGUCAACAGGAUUAGAGCAGCGAUGCUGAGGGGCUUUCUUUUCCUGGAGGAACAAGAUCUUGUUCCUCCAGGUUUUGCUUUUGCCCAAGUUAUAGCAAGCACAAAAAAGCAAAAGACUCCGGUGGUGGCACUCCUGACCUGGUCGGGACGGGGUUCAAAUCCCUGCGGUGUCUUGCUUUUAGUUUGCUGUUUGAGUAAAGCUGCUCAGCAUGAAGUGACCAACAGAUGUUUAACAUCUGGUCCAGUGUGGCAGGCAUGGGACUGACAGGAUGUAAUGUUAGGUGAGAUUAGGUUAGGCAUAGAUCAAUAGCUUCACUUCAAUGUCAGUGUAAAUUUUAAUGAUGGUGUUGGUUACAGGUGUUUUUCUAAACUUAAAACAUUUCAGUGAGAAACAUGGGGGGAGAAAAUUUGACCUAUAAACCAGGCAUGAUCAGAGGAAAGAUUCCCACAGGAGCAAUGGCACAACAGAGAUCUUCAGAAAACAUGGAAUUUGAAGGGCAGUAAACCUCGGAGAUUUCUGUUAUUCAACUGAAGGAUGUGAGAAUGGAUGGUUGUUGCAGGACAUAACUGAAGAGAAUUAAGGCAACAUCCCCAAACACUUCAGUAAGAAAACUUUCAGAUGAUGUCAGAGAAAGAAGAUGGAGCUGCUAGGACAACCUGUCGACCUGCGAGUCUAAUUGGAAAUCAUUGGAAGGACCAGAGGAUCAGACCGUACCGAGGCCCCCAGUACCUUUACAGAUGUGAAGACGAUUUGUUUUGAAGUUUUUCCAUACAGAAGACAUCUUGAAGCAGAUACUAACAAAACAGCUUUUCCACUAUGUAUUGAGUCAAUUUUAAUAAGCGUCUUCAAUAUACCGUCUCCUCCCUCCUAAGUUCAUAUAAUCUCUUUUGAUUGUUGAUUUUUUUGAGAUGUUAAAAAUGUUAUGUUUGAAUUUCACAUCAACUGGGCCAUUAGAACAUUCAAUGCUUAUUUUCCUAUGUGGAAAAAUAGGUAAGAAAAAUGCUACUAUAAUGCAGGAGAAGUAUUACACAUGAGGUAAUGCAAGGAAUGUAAAAAUGGAAGAAAAAAAUGUUAAUCCUUAUGUGACUAAAAUGCUGCUGUUUGCUGUAUUGUGAAAAAAAUUAUCUGUGCUCAUUAAAGACAUGCAAAUUGUUUGCACCUGAAUGAAAAUAAAACAAUAUAUUUUGUUUGGGGCUAAAAUAUGGCCAAAUUGUCUUCAUAAUCUUGACACUUUGGCUCCGUCCUGUAGAUCUGUGAUGAGAAAUUUGGGCAUAAUGAUUGACGAGUGUCAUUUAUAUUUAUAAAUUUGACAAACACGUUGAAUUUGUUGGAGAUCUUUUUUUUUUUUUUUUUUUUUUUGAAUUGUGGAGCAUAAAUUACCUAUUUUGUUUAAAAUUAUGAUCAAAUGUAUUUAUUUAGAACUGCUUUUAUCACAUUGUAGCACUGUGACACUUGUAUGUUUCUUCUUUUUAUCUGUUCUUAUUCCAUUCUUUAUAACUGCCCUAAUGGAAAGCACUGUGGUUUAGAAAUCAUUGUUGUAAAAUGCUAUAGAAAUACAAUUUUAUUGUGAGCAAAAUGCUUGUUUUUCAUUUCAUAUAUAAUUGUUAUAUUUUCUCCUGUAAAGCUGACUUAUUUUUUUAAAAAUUAAAUGUUUUGUAUAUAAUAUCAUCUGUCCUUCUA